rnacentral:lncRNA from 1 species
AUGUUAACAAGAAAUUUCUCUGUCAUGCCUUUUUCAGAAUCUCAACCCAAAGUAGACCACGUGGACGACAACUUUGCAACUUGCCUUCUCAAGCUCUUAGUGAUGGUUCUUAUUUUUUAUGUAUUCCGGGAGGAAUGUUUUGGAAAUAAGAAAAGAAAAGGAAAUGUCUCUAGCAUCUGCUGGCCUGCUUUCUGUCUCUGUGAAUUUACCUAUCCAGAUCAACUUAAGGAAAAUGAUCAACUUAGGAAGGAAAAUGAUCAACUUGGGGAGGAAAAUGAUCAACUUAGGAAGGAAAAUGAUCAACUUAGGAAGGAAAAUGAUCAACUUGGGGAGGAAAAUGGAAAAUUGCAAAAGGAAAUUGAUGAGAGGAAAACUCAAUUUAGGAAUGGCUGGCAGAAGUCAUCGUUGUAUCCUGGUGACCUAUGAAAGCCAUUGUCAUACUUGUUCUAAAAAGGCCAAGAUUGUAAAUAUUUUAAAGUUUAUGGCCAUAUGGUCUCUGUCACAAUUACUCAACUGUGCCUUUUUAGCACAAAAGCAACCAUAGACAAUGCAUAAAGAGAUAGCAUGGUUGUGUUACAAUAAAACUAUUUACACUGACA